rnacentral:rRNA from 1 species
UGGUAAUUCUAUGGCUAAUACAUGCGCACUCGCCUCCUUCUCUGGAGGGGCUGUGUUUAUUAGAUACAAAACCAACCCACUUUGUGGAGUCCUGGUGAUUCAUAGUAACCGAACGGAUCGCAGUUGGCUUCGGCCCGCGAUGGAUCUUUCAAGUUUCUGACCUAUCAGCUUUCGACGGUAGGGUAUUGGCCUACCGUGGCAGUGACGGGUAACGGGGAAUUAGGGUUCGAUUCCGGAGAGGGAGCCUGAGAAACGGCUACCACAUCUAAGGAAGGCAGCAGGCGCGCAAAUUACCCAAUGAAAACAGUUUCGAGGUAGUGACGAGAAAUAACAAUACAGGGCAUUUUAUGCUCUGUAAUUGGAAUGAUGGGAAUGUAAAACCCUUCCAGAGUAACAAUUGGAGGGCAAGUCUGGUGCCAGCAGCCGCGGUAAUUCCAGCUCCAAUAGUGUAUAUUAGAGUUGUUGCAGUUAAAAAGCUCGUAGUUGGAUUUCUGUCGUGGUCAUCCGGCUCCGCCCGUAUGGGUGUGCGCCUGGUUUGCCCUCGGCUUUCUUCCGGUAGCCUUCCGCGCUUCACUGCGUGUGUUGGUGUUCCGGAACUUUUACUUUGAGAAAAAUAGAGUGUUUCAAGCAGGCUUGUCGCCCUGAAUACUUCAGCAUGGAAUAAUAAGAUAGGACCUUGGUUCUAUUUUGUUGGUUUCUAGGACCAAGGUAAUGGUUAAUAGGGACAGUUGGGGGCAUUCGUAUUUAACUGUCAGA